rnacentral:lncRNA from 1 species
GAAACAAUAGGGAAGAGGAAGCAAUCAGAUAUGCAUUUGUUUCAGGUGAACAGAGGAAUGACUUUGUCCCACACCUGUGAAGAUAAGCUAUCAAUUUACAUUACCAGGGUGAAAUUCAACAGAAAUGCUUUUGGAUAAAGAUGUUCAGGCCCACAGGGAAUUUCCUUGUCGACAAAUUGUGAAGGAGGAAGUUGAGUGAGGCCUGAGACAGCAAUGUUUCGUUUAGCCUGGCGGUGGCCCUCCUUGUCUUCAAGAAGAGCAUCCGUGGCUAGCAGUGGAAGAUGGGGUUGGGCCCCAGGUGAGUGACCCUUUGUCGAGUUUGCAGAAUUUGGUCUUGGCGGGUUGAGGAUCUCUUGUAUUUUGUGCGCUCUGUUCCUGCUCCAGGACUGACCAGGCAGUUCUGCCACCUUCUAGGGGUGUGAAAUUGGGAAGUAAUUCAAAAUGUAUGUGCCUAGCAUUCCUUUUAUGUAACAUGAGGGGAAUAGAAGUACCAAACCGAUGCAGUUCAGUGGAGAAUUAAAUGAGAUAGUCACAAGUAAAAGGUGGUAAGUGUGGUUCAUUUUAUUAAUUUUCUUUUAAUUUCCCGAGAAGCCCCAGUUACCUGAAAGCUUCUGUGAGCCUGGGAAGGGAUCAGAGUUCCACCUGCAGUGCUAUUUUGCCCCUUCUUUCUGAUCCUUACAGGAAGCAGGACGAUUC